UGUGAUCAUCUUCAUACUAUGUGCUGGCAUUGUCUAAUGAUGUCUGCCCGACCUCACUCUGAGACUCUACCUACAAGCCAUCAACAGCAUUCAGAAAGAUCUCCAGUGUUUGCCAGAAGAAAAGACUAUUGAGUGCGGUUACCUCAUACCCCGAUAUUCUGACUGAAUAGAGAUGUCAGCAUGGACCGAAGUUUUAGUGCAGCAUUUGAAAGACUGAAAUCCAUGUGUGCAUGAGCACACAGCAAAGGAGUAAUAGAUGGAAAAAUGCCGUCAAAAAGAAGGACAAGGAAGAACAGGAAAUUGGAAAGGAAUCUUCAAGGGAAUUGAAUGGGAUUUGUAGCAGUGAGGAAAUGUCUAAUGCAGGACAUGGAGGGAUAGUUCACAUAUGCAGAGAAGACAAUAUGAGAACAACAGAGAGCUGGAGAUGCUGGACUUCAAGUCUGAAGGGCUGUGACUACAGUCAAAGAAUACUAGCAGCUAGCAGAUGCUGGAAGAUGUGAGGAUGGGGUCGUCCCCCAGAGCACUGGGGAGAAGUGUGGUCCUUCUAACAUCUGUACUUCAACCAGGAAUAUUGACUUCAGACUCUAACCUUUAAACUGGGGCAGAAGACAUUUGCAUUACUGCACAACAUUGUUUAUAGUCCCUUGCCUCAGUAGCUACCACGAACAGGCUUACUAUGCUAUGCCUGGCCUCGGUUCCCAUAACUAUGUGUGGGGUGUAUCUCCCAGGAAACCAAGAAAAGCAGGGGUGACAUUAACUUACCAGGAUGAUACCCCUUUGCUAGCCUGGAACUUGGAAAGACAUUUAAGCCUUUAGUGUCUCAUUUGCUGCAUUAGUAAAGAGAAGAAUUUAGAUAAUAUUUGAGGAGCUGAGGAAAAAAAAAAACAGAUGUGCAUAUCCGUGCAUGUAGCACACACACACACACACACACACACACACACACAUACACACACACACAGUCCUUUAAACAACUGACCAAAAAUACAAAAUAAAUGACUAUGAUUGCAAAAAGAAGGAUACGCCCUACCUUUUUCUACUCUUUUUAUCUUCUUAACCUGAAUUUCACAGAAAAAUGGUUGUUGAUAUUCCCUGAAAAUUUUCUGUAAGUAGAAGGAAAAUUCAUACUUUACAGGUAAUUUAAAAAUGACUGACAAAUAAAACAAGUCAUGGGAUUUCCCACCUUAAACCAGAUAGUAGAAGCUUGUGUUUCUU